CCUACGGGGGGCAGCAGUGGGGGAUAUUGGACAAUGGGGGGAACCCUGAUCCAGCGACGCCGCGUGAGUGAAGAAGUAUUUCGGUAUGUAAAGCUCUGUCAGCAGGGAAGAAAGAAAUGACGGUACCUGACCAAGAAGCCCCGGCUAACUACGUGCCAGCAGCCGCGGUAAUACGUAGGGGGCAGGCGUUAUCCGGAAUUACUGGGUGUAAAGGGAGCGUAGACGGUUAAGUAAGUCUGGAGUGAAAGGCCGGGGCCCAACCCCGGGACUGCUCUGGAAACUAUUGAACUUGAGUGCAGGGGAGGUAAGCGGAAUUCCUAGUGUAGCGGUGAAAUGCGUAGAUAUUAGGAGGAACACCAGUGGCGAAGGCGGCUUACUGGACUGUAACUGACGUUGAGGCUCGAAAGCGUGGGGAGCAAACAGGAUUAGAUACCCCUGUAGUC
rnacentral:rRNA from 1 species